rnacentral:rRNA from 1 species
UAUUUCCUACGGGGCGCAGCAGUGGGGAAUAUUGGGCAAUGGGCGAAAGCCUGAUGCAGCAACGCCGCGUGAGCGAUGAAGGCCUUCGGGUCGUAAAGCUCUGUCCUCAAGGAAGAUAAUGACGGUACUUGAGGAGGAAGCCCCGGCUAACUACGUGCUAGCAGCCGCGGUAAUACGUAGGGGGCUAGCGUUAUCCGGAAUUACUGGGCGUAAAGGGUGCGUAGGUGGUUUCUUAAGUCAGAGGUGAAAGGCUACGGCUCAACCGUAGUAAGCCUUUGAAACUGGGAAACGUGAGUGCAGGAGAG